rnacentral:rRNA from 1 species
UACGGAGGAUGCGAGCGUUAUCCGGAUUUAUUGGGUUUAAAGGGUGCGUAGGCGGGCUUUUAAGUCAGCGGUAAAAAUUCGGGGCUCAACCCCGUCCGGCCGUUGAAACUGGGGGCCUUGAGUGGGCGAGAAGAAGGCGGAAUGCGUGGUGUAGCGGUGAAAUGCAUAGAUAUCACGCAGAACCCCGAAUGCGAAGGCAGCCUUCCGGCGCCCUACUGACGCUGAGGCACGAAAGUGCGGGGAUCGAACAGG